CGUACAGGGGGAAAAAAAAAAAAAAAGUGUUUCGCAUGUGGGUGGGUAUUGAGGCUUUUGCCUUACCACAGUAAAACUUUUAUCUCAGUGUCAAUCUGCCCAUUUGCAGCUCCGGUUUAUUCAUUUGUUUUAGGGCCUCGAAAGGUCCCGCCAGCUUUAUCUCCGUUUAGUUUUGCAGCUUGUUUGGGACAUUUUGGUGGUGCUGCCCUUUUUUAUUUCACUUUUCUCCCCACAAACGGUCUCCCCGGCAGGCAUCGCCCCUUCCCCGCAGGAACCCCAACCCCUGCCCCUCGACGGCACGGGGCCGCGGGCCCCCCGGGCUCCCUCCUCCCGGCCGCGGCUUUGUGGCGAGGCUCGGGCGGCUCCUCCCCGCUGCCGAGGCGGGUACCGGGCUCCGGGUACCGGGCUCCGGGUACCCUCCCGGGUACCUCCCGACUUCGCCGGGCCACGCCGCUUGUGGAGGCUCCGCUCGGCGGCCAGGUAAACCUCCGGCCGCACCACCACAGCCGGGGGGACCGAGGGGAGCGGGGCUCCGGGCGGGCCCCUCCGUGCCGGCGGGCCCCCGGGUCGGGCCGCCCCGCGGAGGGAGCGGGGCAGGGGAGCGGUGCCGGCGGGCUGGGGCUGGGCGAGCGGCGGUGCCGCCCGUGUGGGGCGGGCGCGGUGCCGGCUCCCCCCGGCCGGGGCGGCGGUUGGUUUCUCCUGGCAGCGGAGGCAGGGCCAGGCGCGGCGAGGGUGGGCGCGGAGUUGGCGGCGGGGCCGGGGGAGGCGGCGGCGGAGUUGGCUCCGGACGCGGCGGCAGGAGGUGAGGGACGGGGCUCCGGCACCGGGAGUCGGUGCGAACCGCGAGGGGGGAGCCCCGGGGCGGGCGGUUCGGGUACGGGGAGCCCCGGGACGGGGAGCCCCAAGACGGGCAGAGCCAAGACGGGGAGCCCCGGGGCGGGCAGCCCGGGGACGGGGAGCCCCAGGACGGGCAGCCGCGUCUCGUCCUGCGCUCCGCCGUGA
rnacentral:lncRNA from 1 species